GUAUGAUUGAUUUAGCCAACUGCCAUGAGUGUUGCCCGCGCUGAAUUUGCACUGUGUGUGUUUUCAUGGGACAAGUCAGUGAUCAUGGAGCUUCCUGGAUAACCAGGCAGGUUUAACCAAGUGUGUCUAAGGAGGUCCAAGAACGUCAGUGUCAGUUGUUUGCUGAUUUCUACUGGAGAGUAACUUCGAUUGUCAAAGUUCGUAAUAUGGCCUAUUGAGACUCUCCGUAAAACUAGAGCCUGCAAGUCCCUAAAGUCAAUCACACUCUACUACUGCCAACAACAUGACAACACACACGAGCACAUGGAUACCAGAAGGAAGCAUAAAGAAGAGAUGCAGGAACUCCAAAGACAGUUAAAUGACAAGACUGACAUUAGUCAUUGUAAGGAUGCUGAGGUCCAAGAACAUCGGUGUCAGCAGUCUGC